UAAUAGCCGCAGAAUUUUAACUGUGCUAAGGUAGCAUAAUCAUUAGAUUUUUAAUUAAAAUCUAGAAUGAAAGGUUUAACCUUUAAUUACUUUAUUAAAAUUAUUAAAUUUAAAUUAUAUUAGAAAUAAAAAUAUUUCUAUACCUUAAUAGACGACAAGACCCUAUUGAACUUAACUUAAGUUAAGCUGGGGCAGCUUAUUAAAAAUCAUUUUAAAAGUAUUAUUUUUAUAAAAACCUAAUAUUAUUAAAUGAACAAGUUACCAUAGGGAUAACAGCGUAAUUUUUUAUAAAAGUUCUUAUUAAAUAUAAAGAUUGCGACCUCGAUGUUGAAUUAUAAACCUAAUUGGAGCAAAAUCCUAAAAAGGGGGUC
rnacentral:rRNA from 1 species